AAUCCUUUCGUCAUGGGUAGCAGCAGUGAGCUCCGGUAAGAUUGAGUGCCGAAUCCAUGGUAACUUCCGGUGGGGUUCUCGUUCCUUCAAACACUACCAGAUAGAAGGAGGAACAUCGCGGGUCAGGGAGUUCUUGGUUGUAAUCCGACUUCCGAGGACAUGGCGGCUCAACACCCAACACCGCCACAAACACCACAGCCGCUCCUCUUCGGCGAACUGGUGAUGGAGAUCCUCUCUUGGAUUCCUGCGAAGCCUCUCACGCGCCUGAAGCUUGUGUGCAAGUCAUGGAACUCCAUCAUCUCCAAUCCUCACUUCGUCAAACUUCAUCUUCAGCGAUCGCCCAAAAAUGCCAACCUCCUUGUUAUGCUAAGAGAAAUAUCCCCUGAAGGAGAAGUGAGUGUAGUGUUGAGUAGCGUUGAAUCUUUCAUCCGGAAUCCUUCCUCCACUCUUACUGCUCAAGAUGGUUGCCACUCUCUAGGCCGAGGCUGGGUUUUGGGUUCAUGCAACGGUUUGGUUUGUAUUUGGGAUGGCAUUGAAGAUUAUCCCAACGAUUUCGAGUUCCAUUUAUGGAACCCUCUCACAGGGUUUAGUUCAGUGAAAUCGCCGCGCUUACAUGUCAAUAAGUAUGCUUCGUUUGGGUUUGGGUAUGAUGAGUCAAGUGACGGUUACAAGGUGGCGGCUGUCAAUUUGGACAUUAACUAUACCGAUAAUUCUUGGGAAACAACUGUGGAAGUUUAUAGGUUCGGUAGCAGUUCUUGGAGGAACAUCGAUAGUUUCCCUGCCUUUCCACUUGCUAUUGAAGAGGACGGCAUGUACAUCGGUGGCACUCUUAAUUGGCUUGGACUCCAGAACACUCAGGGAGGUGUUUAUGAUUGGGGUGCUGUUACACUUGAUAUGUUAGUGAUUGUUUCGCUUGAGCUGAAAUCGGAGACAUAUAAACAGAUUCAGCUGCCUAAUGGUAUUGAUGAGCUCCCCAGUCACAAGCCAAGUCUGAAUGUUUGGGGGAAUUGUCUGUAUCUUUCUCAUGAUUACAAGAAAACUCAUUUUAUUGUGUGGCAAAUGAAGGAGUUUGGAGAUGAAAUCUCAUGGACUCAAAUGCUAAAGAUUAGUCUUCAGCAUAUCAAUGUUGAACUGCUGUUUCCUUUGUUUAUAUGUGAGAAUGGAGAUAUCUUUGUGCUUGGAGCGAGUAACGGGGACAUUUCUAAGAUAGUUUUGUAUGACCCGAGAGUUAAUAGUGUUGAGCACAUUAACAUCUUGGAUAAAAAUCAUUUUGCCAUUAUCAAUGAUUAUGUUGAGAGCUUGGUUCAGCACUGUUAAAAUUCAGUUCUUCGAAGUUCUGCCCUUGCAGGUUAUUGUUCUGUAAGUUAUUAUAAAUCCUUGCGUUUCUGGAAUGAAGAAUGAUUUUGCGGUGGAAAUUAUGUGGCUAUGUCAAGGGUCUGGAAAAUGUGACACCAAUGAUUGCAAAGAUAGACCAGAAGAGUGCAAUAGAGCUUGAUUGCUUGAAUCCUAUGGCUUGGUUACAAGAAUGGUAAUUCCUACUAGUAGUAGUUAUAGUGAUUAGAUCUUAGCAUGUUGCAACGGUAAUGUUGAGAACCUUAGAUGAUACAACAUGUGUAGCAUGUUACUGCUUGCAUAGGAAUGUAAGCAGUGAAGAUUAAGAACCAAAAUUUUAUAGAACGAGAAGCAGUUAUUAUGUGAUAUAUAUGUGUGAUACUUCCUUUGCCAAUGUUAUUAGUUCUUUUAAAA